rnacentral:rRNA from 1 species
UGCCAGACUCCUACGGGAGGCAGCAGUGAGGAAUAUUGGUCAAUGGCCGAGAGUCUGAACCAGCCAAGUAGCGUGAAGGAUGACUGCCCUAUGGGUUGUAAACUUCUUUUAUAAAGGAAUAAAACGAGGCACGUGUGCCUUUUUGCAUGUACUUUAUGAAUAAGGAUCGGCUAACUCCGUGCCAGCAGCCGCGGUAAUACGGAGGAUCCGAGCGUUAUCCGGAUUUAUUGGGUUUAAAGGGAGCGUAGAUGGGUUGUUAAGUCAGUUGUGAAAGUUUGCGGCUCAACCGUAAAAUUGCAGUUGAAACUGGCAGUCUUGAGUACAGUAGAGGUGGGCGGAAUUCGUGGUGUAGCGGUGAAAUGCUUAGAUAUCACGCAGAACUCCGAUUGCGAAGGCAGCGUACCGGCGCCCAACUGACGCUGAAGCACGAAGGCGUGGGUAUCGAACAGGAUUAGAUACCCCAGUA